GGCUCAGGGCAGAGGGGUGUACGCGGGGCGCUACCGCUGUGUCUGCCUCAGCGCUGCUGGCUGCUCAGAGCCCAGUGCCGCCCUGGAGCUGGGGUGACAGUGAGGAAGCCACACCCGAGCAGGAGCUGGGUAGGUCACGGAGACGCUGAGAGGAGGUGUAGAUGGGAAUUGGGUGCGGGGCCUGGGCUCCUGGGCCAGACACCCAGAGUGAGGGCGGUGGGACUGCAGGGCAGGAGGGAGAAGGGUGUGGGCGGAGCCAGGGUGCAGCCCCGCCCCUCUUCCCUCCUGACCCAGCAGGCCCUCGGUGGUCCCUGCAGAGGGCCUGAUGGGGUCACACAGGGACUCGCCGUGUCUGGCUGCUGUGUCUGGCUGCCCCAGGUCGUGCUCCCACAGCGGGGGAGCAGAUGCAGCGCUGGACGGGACCCGCCCAGGACGGGUCUCACUCACACCCCGGGGGCUCGGCGGUCCUGUAGACCAGGACAGAUUCUGCUCGGGCUCAGUGGGCCCUGGCAAUGGCCCAGGGAAGUCCCCAGACCUGCUGCUGUAGGAGAAGUUCGCCGGGCUGUGGGUCCCUGUGGCCCCGCCCCUGCGGAGCUCCCCUGGCGGCCUCCAUGCUGGGGGCACACGUGCAGCCCAGGAGGGGCCGUGCACCUGCUCGCCUGAGUCGCUGGGCCUCUGCCCGCAGGUGUGGGUCCUCUCUCUCCAGCCCGCAUGUUCCGUGCACCCCUGUGCGUGGGGGGCCCUGCUCCUGACUUUCCCAGCAGUCGUUUCACGGGCAGAGGUCACCGGGGGUGCAGGGUUUGUGGCGUCAGUGUGGGAAAUCCUCUCCCGUAUCUGGGGCGGGUGUAGUUUAUGCGUGACUACAGAGGAAGCCUGGCGCCGUCUUCUGUCCCGUGUGCUUGGGAUCCAGGCUGUCACGAGCCGGGGGUGUGUUGGUGUUUGCGUGUGUGACGUGUGUCCGUGCACCGCCAUUGCAGCAUCGUCAUGGCCCCGACACCUGACUGGCCUGGUCCUCUGUCCCUGUGUGUCUAAGUCAGAGCUCCGCUCCCAGGAGGGCGUGGGUCUGGCUGUCAGGAUCGAACCUGGUGCCGAGUUUCUAAUGUGGUCUCCCUCUGAUGGCUGGUGUGUGUGUGUGUGCGUGUGUGUGCGUGUGUGUGUGUGCGCGUGCACGCACUCUGCCUCUGAUAAAUAAAUCUUUCAGAUAGAGAGGAGAGACA
rnacentral:lncRNA from 1 species